rnacentral:rRNA from 1 species
GCGAGCCCACCUCCCACCCGUGUUUACUGUACCUUAGUUGCUUCGGCGGGCCCGCCAUUCAUGGCCGCCGGGGGCUCUCAGCCCCGGGCCCGCGCCCGCCGGAGACACCACGAACUCUGUCUGAUCUAGUGAAGUCUGAGUUGAUUGUAUCGCAAUCAGUUAAAACUUUCAACAAUGGAUCUCUUGGUUCCGGCAUCGAUGAAGAACGCAGCGAAAUGCGAUAACUAGUGUGAAUUGCAGAAUUCCGUGAAUCAUCGAGUCUUUGAACGCACAUUGCGCCCCCUGGUAUUCCGGGGGGCAUGCCUGUCCGAGCGUCAUUGCUGCCCAUCAAGCACGGCUUGUGUGUUGGGUCGUCGUCCCCUCUCCGGGGGGGACGGGCCCCAAAGGCAGCGGCGGCACCGCGUCCGAUCCUCGAGCGUAUGGGGCUUUGUCACCCGCUCUGUAGGCCCGGCCGGCGCUUGCCGAACGCAAAUCAAUCUUUUUCCAGGUUGACCUCGGAUCAGGUAGGGAUACCCGCUGAACUUAAGCAUAUCAAAAGCGGAGGAAAAGAAAAA